GAUGAACGCUGGCGGCGUGCUUAACACAUGCAAGUCGAACGGACGGAUUGGAGCUUGCUCCAUGAAGUUAGUGGCGGACGGGUGAGUAAACGCGUGGGUAACCUGCCCUAUGCAGGGGGAUAACGUUUGGAACGAACGCUAAUACCGCAUAAUCUAGUUGGUUCGCAUGAACCGACUAACAAAGAUUUUAUCGGCAUAGGAUGGACCCGCGUUGGAUUAGCUAGUUGGUGAGAUAACAGCCCACCAAGGCAACGAUCCAUAGCCGGCCUGAGAGGGUGAACGGCCACACUGGGACUGAGACACGGCCCAGACUCCUACGGGAGGCAGCAGUGGGGAAUAUUGCACAAUGGGCGCAAGCCUGAUGCAGCGACGCCGCGUGAAGGAUGAAGGUCUUCGGAUCGUAAAACUUCUAUCAGCAGGGAAGAAACAAUGACGGUACCCUGACUAAGAAGCCCCGGCUAACUACGUGCCAAGCAGCCGCUGUAAC
rnacentral:rRNA from 1 species